rnacentral:rRNA from 1 species
CCUACGGGGAGCAGCAGUGGGGAAUAUUGGGCAAUGGGCGCAAGCCUGACCCAGCAACGCCGCGUGAAGGAAGAAGGCUUUCGGGUUGUAAACUUCUUUUAAGAGGGAAGAGCAGAAGACGGUACCUCUUGAAUAAGCCACGGCUAACUACGUGCCAGCAGCCGCGGUAAUACGUAGGUGGCAAGCGUUGUCCGGAUUUACUGGGUGUAAAGGGCGUGUAGCCGGGCUGACAAGUCAGAUGUGAAAUCCCGUGGCUCAACCACGGAACUGCAUUUGAAACUGGCGGUCUUGAGUAUCGGAGAGGCAGGCAGAAUUCCUAGUGUAGCGGUGAAAUGCGUAGAGAUUAGGAGGAACACCAGUGGCGAAGGCGGCCUGCUGGACGACAACUGACGGUGAGGCGCGAAAGCGUGGGGAGCAAACAGGAUUAGAUACCCUAGUAGUC